rnacentral:rRNA from 1 species
AGAUUGAACGCUGGCGGCAUGCCUUACACAUGCAAGUCGAACGGCAGCACGGGAGCAAUCCUGGUGGCGAGUGGCGAACGGGUGAGUAAUAUAUCGGAACGUGCCCAGUCGUGGGGGAUAACGCAGCGAAAGCUGUGCUAAUACCGCAUACGAUCUAUGGAUGAAAGCGGGGGAUCGCAAGACCUCGCGCGAUUGGAGCGGCCGAUAUCAGAUUAGCUAGUUGGUGGGGUAAAAGCCUACCAAGGCGACGAUCUGUAGCUGGUCUGAGAGGACGACCAGCCACACUGGAACUGAGACACGGUCCAGACUCCUACGGGAGGCAGCAGUGGGGAAUUUUGGACAAGUGGGCGCAAGCCUGAUCCAGCAAUGCCGCGUGCAGGAGUGAAGGCCUUCGGUUGUAACUGUCUUUGGUACGGUAACGAACGGUUCUCUCUAAGUA